GUGAAUCAUCGAAUCUUUGAACGCAAAUUGCACUCUCUUCUGAGAGUAUGCCUGUUUGAGGGUCAGCCUAAAAAAAAUCGACACAGUUGCUGUUACGCGGUAACAUUCGUCGGAAAUUGGGUCAUCUUAAACCUUUGGGUUUAAGCGGCUAAAAAUUUUCUUUACGAUUCAAUGAACGUAUCUAUGAUUUUAUCUCCUUUUACGUUUAAGUUUCCUUUCUUUUUUAGCCG
rnacentral:misc_RNA from 1 species